rnacentral:rRNA from 1 species
AUUGAACGCUGGCGGCAUGCCUUACACAUGCAAGUCGAACGGUAACAGGUUAAGCUGACGAGUGGCGAACGGGUGAGUAAUGUAUCGGAACGUGCCCAGUUGUGGGGGAUAACUGCUCGAAAGAGCAGCUAAUACCGCAUACGACCUGAGGGUGAAAGCGGGGGAUCGCAAGACCUAGCGCAGUUGGAGCGGCCGAUAUCAGAUUAGGUAGUUGGUGGGGUAAAGGCUCACCAAGCCAACGAUCUGUAGCUGGUCUGAGAGGACGACCAGCCACACUGGGACUGAGACACGGCCCAGACUCCUACGGGAGGCAGCAGUGGGGAAUUUUGGACAAUGGGCGCAAGCCUGAUCCAGCCAUGCCGCGUGCGGGAAGAAGGCCUUCGGGUUGUAAACCGCUUUUGUCAGGGAAGAAAAGACUCCUGUUAAUACCGGGGGUUCAUGACGGUACCUGAAGAAUAAGCACCGGCUAACUACGUGCCAGCAGCCGCCGUAA